rnacentral:misc_RNA from 1 species
UGGUACAGUUUUAACUCCCAAAUAAGAAGGCAGAACUCUCUUCUAGCACUAAUUAAACGAUCCAGAAAUCUCUUGGAAGCAGUUCUUUAAAUUAAUUUUAUAUUGACAGUGUUCCAAGUAUUUAUCUAAAGAGCAAAACAAAUACUCUGACAUUUAAUGAAACAUAGUUCUAAUCAAUCUUCUGCUCACAAACUGAGAUUUCAUGGAAUAAGAUACUUUAAAUACUUAAAAUCAUAAAUAUUCAGAGUCAAUCAAUGCAGACAAAAGAAGCAUUGG